rnacentral:rRNA from 1 species
CCUGGUGGUCAUUGCGAGGGCCAUGCACCCGAUCCCAUGCCGAACUCGGCCGUGAAAUCCCUCCGCGCCAAUGAUACUUCGUCUCAAGACGCGGGAAAGUCGGUCGCUGCCAGGUCUGCUAAGUGCAUCUCUCUCUCUCUUCACAUCAUC